UACAGAGGUCCCAAGCGUUGUUCGGAUUCACUGGGCGUAAAGGGCACGUAGGCGGCUCGGCAAAUCGGUCGUGGAAUCCCGACGCUUACCGUCGGAACGGCGGCCGAAAAUACCGGGCUCGAGGGCGUGAGGGGUCACUGGAACUCCUGGUGAAGCGGUGAAAUGCGUAGAUAUCAGGAGGAACGCCGGAGGCGAAAGCGAGUGACUGGCGCGUUCCUGACGCUGAGGUGCGAAAGCUAGGGGAGCAAACAGG
rnacentral:rRNA from 1 species